rnacentral:sRNA from 1 species
AACCCUGUGUAAAUGAAGGAAUGUGUGUUACCUACCACAAUGGCACAGGAUACUGCAAAUGUCCAGAAGGCUUCUUGGGAGAAUAUUGUCAACAUCGAGACCCCUGUGAGAAGAACCGCUGCCAGAAUGGUGGGACUUGUGUGGCCCAGGCCAUGCUGGGGAAAGCCACGUGCCGAUGUGCCUCAGGGUUCACGGGAGAGGACUGCCAGUACUCGACAUCUCAUCCAUGCUUUGUGUCUCGACCCUGCCUGAAUGGUGGCACAUGCCAUAUGCUCAGUCGGGAUACCUAUGAGUGCACCUGUCAAGUCGGGUUUACAGGUAACUAAUGAGACCAAAGCCAGUGCUUUCCUACCUUCAGCAGAUACCUUUAUUUAGCAUCUUUUAGAUCAUGGUGUCUGGCUCUUAAGUGUCCCC